rnacentral:miRNA from 1 species
CGCGGCGAAAAAAUCUAAUGG